rnacentral:rRNA from 1 species
UACGGAGGGAGCUAGCGUUGUUCGGAAUUACUGGGCGUAAAGCGCGCGUAGGCGGCUUUGUAAGUUAGAGGUGAAAGCCCGGGGCUCAACUCCGGAACUGCCUUUAAGACUGCAUCGCUUGAAUCCGGGAGAGGUGAGUGGAAUUCCGAGUGUAGAGGUGAAAUUCGUAGAUAUUCGGAAGAACACCAGUGGCGAAGGCGGCUCUCUGGGACGGUAUUGACGCUGAGACGCGAAAGCGUGGGGAGCGAACAGG